AAAUUUAUAAUUAUUAUUUUUAUAAAUUUAUUUAUUUAUUAAAAUAAAAAAAUUAAAUUUUAUUAUUAAUUAGAAAAAAUUUAUUUUAUUAUAGUUAAUUAAUAUUGUGAAAGAAUUAAGUAAUUUAUUUAAUAGAAAAAUUUAUUUUUUGUACCUUGUGUAUCAGGGUUUAUUAAAAAAAAAUUUAUAUAAAUUUAUCUCGAAUUUAAAAGAGUUAAAAAGUUAUAUUUUUUAAUAUUUAAUAAUUAUUAAUAAUAACUUUUUUGUAGUGAAAUGUUAUUCGUUUUUAAAUAUAUCUAGUUUUUUAAGAAAUAAAUUUAAUUUAAUUAUUAAUUUAAUAAAAAAUUAAGUUUUUAGUUUUUUAUUUUUAAUAAUAAAUAUUUUUAGGGAUGAGCUUAAAAAUAAAUUUUUAUUAAUUUAUAAAUGAAAUAAAAUUGUAGAAUUAAAAUUUUUUAUCAAUAAAAAAAUGUUAUAAUUAAUUUAUAAUUAAAUAUUAUUUUUAUAAAUAUAUUAAAUUUUUUAUUAAAAUUUUAAUUAAAAUAUUAUUAAUUAAUAAAUGAUGAUAAAAUUAGUAUAAAUUAUUGUAUGUAGAUAGAUUAAGUAUAGGUUAAGUAAAGGAAUUCGGCAAAUUAUUUUUUACCUGUUUAUUAAAAACAUGUCUUUUUGAUAAUAAUUUAAAGUCUAACCUGCCCAAUGAUAAUAUUAAAUGGCCGCGGUAUUUUGACCGUGCUAAGGUAGCAUAAUCAAUAGUUUUUUAAUUGAAAGCUGGAAUGAAGGGUUGGAUAAAAAAAUAACUGUCUUUAUUUAAUUUAAUUAGAAUUUUAUUUUUAAGUUAAAAAGCUUAAAUUUUAUUAGAAGACGAGAAGACCCUAUAGAGUUUUAUAAAUAGUGGAAUUAUUAUAUUUAGAAUUAAUUUUAUUAAUUUAAAUAUUUAUUUAGUUGGGGUGAUUAAAAAAUUAAAUUAACUUUUUUUUUGUAUUUACAUAUAUAAAUGAGUAUUUGAUCCAUUAAUAAUGAUUAUAAGUUAAAAUUACCUUAGGGAUAACAGCGUUAUUUUUUUUUAGAGUUCAAAUCGAAAAAAAAGAUUGCGACCUCGAUGUUGGAUUAAAAUUAAUUUUUGGUGUAGAUGCUAAAAUAUUAGGUCUGUUCGACCUUUAAAAUUUUACAUGAUCUGAGUUUAAACCGGUUUAAGCCAGGUUGGUUUCUAUCUUUAAUAUUUAAUUAUAUCUUAGUACGAAAGGAUUAGAUAUAAA
rnacentral:rRNA from 1 species